rnacentral:rRNA from 1 species
GACGGAGGGUGCUAGCGUUUUUCGGAAUCACUGGGCGUAAAGGGCGCGUAGGCGGCGAUGGCAGUCGGGUGUGAAAGCCCGGAGCUCAACUCCGGAAUGGCACUCGAGACGCCAUGGCUGGAGGCCGGAAGAGGAGGGUGGAAUACCCAGUGUAGAGGUGAAAUUCGUAGAUAUUGGGUGGAACACCGGUGGCGAAAGCGGCUCUCUGGUCCGGACCUGACGCUGAGGCGCGAAAGCGUGGGGAGCAAACAGG